rfam:Drosophila pseudoobscura pseudoobscura strain MV2-25 unplaced genomic scaffold Tnknown_group_638, whole genome shotgun sequence.
UCCCAUAUUGUCUAGUGGUUAGGAUAUCCGGCUCUCACCCGGAAGGGCCGGGUGCAAUUCCCGGUAUGGGAA